AUUGAACGCUGGCGGCAGGCCUAACACAUGCAAGUCGAGCGAGCGGCGGACGCGUGAGUAAUGUCUGGGAAACUCUCUGAUGGAGAGGGAUAACUACUGGAAACGGUAUCUAAUACCGCAUACCAUCAGAUGUGCCCAGAUGGGAUUAGCUGGUAGGUGGGGUAACGGCUCACCUAGGCGCCGAUCCCUAGCUGGUCUGAGAGGAUGACCAGCCAAACUGGAACUGAGACACGGUCCAGACUCCUACGGGAGGCAGCAGUGGGGAAUAUUGCACAAUGGGCGCAAGCCUGAUGCAGCCAUGCCGCGUGUAUGAAGAAGGCCUUCGGGUUGUAAAGUACUUUCAGCGGGGAGGCGUUACCCGCAGAAGAAGCACCGGCUAACUCCGUGCCAGCAGCCGCGGUAAUUC
rnacentral:rRNA from 1 species